rnacentral:rRNA from 1 species
UACGUAGGGUGCGAGCGUUGUCCGGAAUUACUGGGCGUAAAGAGCUCGUAGGUGGUUUGUCGCGUUGUUCGUGAAAACUCACAGCUUAACUGUGGGCGUGCGGGCGAUACGGGCAGACUGGAGUACUGCAGGGGAGACUGGAAUUCCUGGUGUAGCGGUGGAAUGCGCAGAUAUCAGGAGGAACACCGGUGGCGAAGGCAGGUCUCUGGGCCGAUACUGACGCUGAGGAGCGAAAGCGUGGGGAGCGAACAGG